CUCUGCCAGGGGCACCGAGAACUGAAAUGUCUCGUUGAAGACAGGGUUCAGGGUCUUCCUGUGCACCUGGCGGGGCAGGUAGAUCUUGACGUAGGGGUCCGAGAAGCCGUUGGAGUCCUUGGCGGGGAGGUCCAAGGCCUGCAGGAUCCGCACCACCAGCUGGUCGGAGCCGUAGAGGGCACCCAGCACAACUUCCAGGACACGAAGAGGGAGACACCCAGAAGGACAAUGCCACAGAAUGUCACGAUGACCGACAGCAGGCUCACGGAGAUGUCUGGAGAGAGUGAGGACAGAGGUAGGGGUCAGGCAAGAAAACUGAAACUCUGAGAGACAGCAAGUGACCCUGCAGGGCCAUAUAUGAGGCACUGGCCAAAGAACCCUGAGUCUCCUACUCCUCCCUCCUCAGGGUGCUUCUUUUUAAGUGACCAACACCUUCUGAGAGUUCUGGAGGUGUGUUAGAAGGCAAAGAUAAGGACCUUACCAGCCCCCUGAACAUGGGAGGAAUUGAGAAAAGGGGGUUACUUGGCAGAAAAAUCAGAUAUAUGCUGUCCCCUGCUGCCAGCUUGACCCAGACCUUGUCCAGGUCAAAAGAUAAAUCCUCCAGUGUGGACUGGGGAGAGCUUUGGGCUUGGAGAGGUAGUGUAGUUGUGCAGCAAAAGGUUCACCUUGUCUAAAAGAAGGUCUUGCCCUUGAUCACCUCCUGGGAGGGAACCUCUAAGCCCUUGGAAUGUUCUGGCUGAUAAGUGUGUCUUUGUUUACCUGGGGCCUUGGACCAAGCUGGAUACUCUAUGCUGAAACUAACACUGUGAUUUAUGCUGGGGGCCUUGGGCAUCAGCUCGACUUCUGAAGGGGCUGCAGACUACGGUCAGCUACCUGGACAAUCAGCCCUGUCUACAUGACCGACCCACCAAUAAAAACCCUGGACACCAAGGCUCGGGUGAACUUCCUAGGCUGUGAGACUCUGAGCCAGUGACUGCAGCUCUCUGGGCCUCAUCCCUCAUCAUUGUCACCUGGACAUCCUGCACUCGAGAUGGCAUGCCCUGCCCCGGUGCUCAGCGAGGGUGACUGUUAUAAUGUCCGAGCACACGCUUCCUCCAGGUCGUGUUUCCUCAGCUGAGCAAUGGCACUCACGGUAUUUCCCAGUUCUCAGAACCCUGCUGCCUCCCAGCUCUACGACCUUGGACAAGUCACUUCACCUUUCUAAGCCUCAGUUUCCCCUGUUGAAAACUCAGAUUAUAUGUACCACAAAGGGGCACUGUGAAUAGUCAGUGAAAUAUGCAAAGGACCUCACAUACCGUCUGCAACACAGUUGGUAUAAAUAAAUCCCAACAUUCAUUGAAUGGCCACCAUGCAUACAGUGUUGCUCUAAGCACUUCACAUGUGUUAUAUCAUUGGAGGCUCUCAUCUGCCCCAUGAGGUAGUCACUUUCAUUAGCCCCAUUUUCCAGAUGAGGAAACUGAGGCACAGAAGUCACUUACCUAAAGUGAGUAAGUGGGGGAGGUGGA